rnacentral:rRNA from 1 species
UACGUAGGGUGCAAGCGUUAAUCGGAAUUACUGGGCGUAAAGCGUGCGCAGGCGGUUUUGUAAGACAGAGGUGAAAUCCCCGGGCUCAACCUGGGAACUGCCUUUGUGACUGCAAGGCUGGAGUACGGCAGAGGGGGAUGGAAUUCCGCGUGUAGCAGUGAAAUGCGUAGAUAUGCGGAGGAACACCGAUGGCGAAGGCAAUCCCCUGGGCCUGUACUGACGCUCAUGCACGAAAGCGUGGGGAGCAAACAGGAUUAGAUACCCUGGUAGUCCACGCCCUAAACGAUGUCAACUGGUUGUUGGGUCUUCACUGACUCAGUAACGAAGCUAACGCGUGAAGUUGACCGCCUGGGGAGUACGGCCGCAAGGUUGAA